CCUGACUGCUAUCGGAUUGAUACUAAGCCAUGCGAGUCAUUGUAGUAAUACAAGGCAGACGGCUCAGUAACGCGUAGUCAACCUACCUUUAUGGACGGGGAUAACCUCGGGAAACUGAGAAUAAUACCAGAUAGAACAUUAUGCCUGGAAUGGUUUAUGUUUCAAAUAAUUUAUUGCCGUAAGAUGGGACUGCGGCCUAUCAGUUUGUUGGUGAGGUAAUGGCCCACCAAGACUAUUACAGGUACGGGCUCUGAGAGGAGUAGCCCGGAGAUGGGUACUGAGACACGGACCCAGGCCCUAUGGGGCGCAGCAGGCGAGAAAACUUUGCAAUGUGCGAAAGCACGACAAGGUUAAUCCGAGUGGUUUCUGCUAAAGGAACCUUUUGUCAGUCCUAGAAACACUGGCGAAUAAGGGGUGGGCAAGUUCUGGUGUCAGCCGCCGCGGUAAAACCAGCACCUCAAGUGGUCAGGAUGAUUAUUGGGCCUAAAGCAUCCGUAGCCUGCUUUGUUAGUUUUCGGUUAAAUCCAUAUGCUCAACGUAUGGGCUGCCGGGAAUACUGCAAAGCUAGGGAGUGGGAGAGGUAGACGGUACUCGGUAGGAAGGGGUAAAAUCCUUUGAUCUAUUGAUGACCACCUGUGGCGAAGGCGGUCUACCAGAACACGUCCGACGGUGAGGGAUGAAAGCUGGGGGAGCAAACCGGAUUAGAUACCCGGGUAGUCCCAGCUGUAAACUAUGCAAACUCGGUGAUGCAUUGGCUUGAUGCCAAUGCAGUGCCGCAGGGAAGCCGUUAAGUUUGCCGCCUGGGAAGUACGUACGCAAGUAUGAAACUUAAAGGAAUUGGCGGGGGAGCACCACAAGGGGUGAAGCCUGCGGUUC
rnacentral:rRNA from 1 species